GAUGAACGCUGACAGAAUGCUUAACACAUGCAAGUCGAUGGGGAAGUGGUGCUUGCACCAUGGCAACCAUGGCGGACGGGUGAGUAACGCGUAAGGGACUUACCUGCAGGACUGGGAUAACAGGGGGAAACUCCUGACAAGACCGGAUAAUGUCAUGGGGCUGCAUGGCUUUAUGAUGAAAGGAGACGCCUGCGGAGAGCCUUGCGUCCUAUUAGCUAGUUGGUGAGGUAAUGGCUCACCAAGGCGAAGAUAGGUAGCCGGCCUGAGAGGGUGGACGGCCACAAGGGGACUGUGAUGCGGCACUUGCUCCUACGGGAGGCAGCAGUGGGGAAUAUUGGACCAUGGGGGCGACCCUGAUCCAGCAAUUCUGUGUGCACGAAGAAGGUUUUCGGAUUGUAAAGUGCUUUCAGCAGGGAAGAAGUAAGUGACGGUACCUGCAGAAGAAGCGACGGCUAAAUACGUG
rnacentral:rRNA from 1 species